AUGCUCACUUUGAUAGCUCAUAUAUUAAAAUUGCAGUGAUGCAGAGAACAUCAGCGUGGCCCUGUACGUGGAUAGCACACAUGUUUGGGAGGCAGUCCAUUGUUUG
rnacentral:snRNA from 1 species